CUAUGCAACUAUAUUCAACCGGCGUCAAUUAACCAUUAAGCGCCUACUGUGUAUCAAGCUCUACGUUCAAUACACACUUUCUUUCAGCACUAGACAGUCCAGCCCUCAACCAUGCAGUACUUACAACAUAAAAAGGAGUUUAGGGAUCACCUACUAAAAAAAUCAUUCUACUAAUAGACGUUGAACUCCUAAAUGUUCAAGAUUUAUUCCUUCCCAACAAUGGUGGAAGAUAAGAGUUAAGCUUACCUAUAUUUCAUAAGCACUAAUUUGUAUGCAGAUGUUUUGGGAAACUUUAUUUUUCAAACAUCUAGAUGUUGCAUUUAGUAUUACCCCAGAACUAAAUCUUUGCUCAAUAACAACUUCUGUUUUUCAGAUAGUGAAAAGAUACACGAUCAAAUUGUUGUAACUGCCCUACCAUAAUCCCUAGACCUGCUCGACCUAUUUUCCGAGGGGAGUGGCAAUGUCUUAAAGAAACUGCCUUGAGAAUGUUGAAGAAACCCUGGAGAGAUUAACAAUCCAAAUGAUCACAGAGAAUAGUUUUGGAUCCCCUACGUUUGCACAGAGGAAGAGAGAUAUGAAUGCCCUUCAACAGAGAUGAAAAUAAAACAUAUAAUUUGGUUGCAGGGAAGACAUUAGAAAGACACACUCCUGUGUAUAGCCAUACCACCCUGAAUGCAACCAGUCGCGUCUGAUCUUGUCAGCUAAGCAGAGUUGAGCCUGGUUAGUACUUGGAUGGGAGAAAGACACACUUAUGCUGACCUGGAAGAAGAGCAAUAAUCAUAUUGUGAACUGUCUAUGGGGGCCACAUAGCGGAGAACUGCCGGUAGCCUCUAGGAGCUGAGAGCAAGCAGUCCUUGACCAACAGUCAGCAAGAAAACAAUAACUUCAAUCACGCUGCUUCGAGGAACUGAAUUCUGCCAAAAGCUGAAUGAACUUGGAAUCAGGUUCUUCCUCAGCAUCUCCAGACAGAAAAUCAGCCCAGAUAACACCUUGAUUUUAGCACUGUGGGACCCUAAGCAGAAAGCUCAGCCAUGGCAUGCCUCGGCUUGUGUCCUACAGAACUGUGAACUAAUAAAUGAUUUUUUUAAAGCAAUUACAUUUGUGGUAAUUUGUUAUGUUUCAGUAGAAACUACACACUAGUGCAGUGCCUGGUACAUAAUAAAAUAUUGGCUGGUCAGUUAUUGGUUGGUUGAUUCGAAUUAAUGAAUGAGAGUAUGGAAGGAAGGACAGAGUAAAAAGAAAGAGAGGAGGAUGAAAGAAAUACGCUAUUUAGAAAAAAAGGUUUGUAUUUUGGCCCAUUCAUACAAAUGAAUUUUGAGAGAAUGAGGGGACAUUUUCUUGGAAUGAUUGAUUGGGCUUUCUAGCUGAAGAAAUGUGGCAGACCUAUUAUGCCUGUUUAGAUCAGCUUUUUCUGCUCAUGUUUCCUAACUUCCAUUCCAUUUCUCAUCCCUAAUCAUUCCUUGACCCUGUUGUCAUCCUUACCCUGACUCCAAAUUGUCUGGUUAAAAAGAAAAACAUAGCCCUAACAGCUGUCAGCUAGUAGCUGGCCUAGUUGCUACCAGCUAGGCCACAGUGUUUUCCUGUUGAAUAUAAACAGCUUCACAUUAGUUCAGCAUCAGGUGAGAACUCACCAUAAUUAUAAAGUAAACAAAAAAGACCACUCCGUAAACUUGCCUGAACACAGUUCAAAACAAAGAGACCGUGCAACCACAAAACAACCAAACAUCUUCCAAAGAAAAUGCAUGACAACUGCUUCCUUUCCAAUGUCAACUCUAGCUCUGCUCUAUCCCUCCUGCCCCUUAAAUAAAAAAUAUUAAGAUACCCAUUCACCUAAUUGGCCUGCUUUCUGACAGAUCCCAAUCCAGACCCCUGCUUCUUUGAAUCCUCCCCCAAAUCACUUAACACAAGCACAAAUCUUAAAGUAAGCUCCUCCUAACUCCCUCUUUAAAAGACAAUUUAUGG